rnacentral:lncRNA from 1 species
AGGUGUCAUGGCAUAGUUGGAGGAAGCAAAGUGGGGGAUUCGGACAUCCAAUCGAGCAGUGAAAGGAUAGAUUUAACAAGCGAACCAAUGAUAGAACUCUGUUAUUGGAGGGAUGGAGCUGAGCCUAAGAAACAAGAGCGACUAAAAGUCAGAGACGCUAAUGAUCAACACUCAAGAUGGAUCUAAUGAUUGUAGAUGGAUGAAUAGGAAUUUGGGUGAUUUUUUUUACUUUCCCCUUUGGUGAUAGUGUGUUGGACAAGCUUGAAUCUUAGAAGGAUGGUUCAAGGGGUAAUAGGGCUAUAGUGAUGAAGCUCUAAGGAUGUGGUAGUGGUGGUGGAUCAAUCUAGCUUUAAUAUUAACUAACACAAGGCAGGUGAAGGAAGAAGUAGAGGAAAAAAGAGGCAAAAGAAGAUGAGGUAG